rfam:Rattus norvegicus chromosome 4, whole genome shotgun sequence.
GGGGAUUUGGCUCAGUGGUAGAGCACUUGCCUAGGAAGCACAAGGUCCCGGGUUCGAUCCCCAGCCCCG